rnacentral:rRNA from 1 species
UACGGAGGGUGCAAGCGUUAUCCGGAUUCACUGGGUUUAAAGGGUGCGUAGGUGGGCUAGUAAGUCCGUGGUGAAAUCUCUGAGCUUAACUCGGAAACUGCCGUGGAUACUAUUAGUCUUGAAUCUCGUGGAGGUAAGCGGAAUAUGUCAUGUAGCGGUGAAAUGCUUAGAUAUGACAUAGAACACCGAUAGCGAAGGCAGCUAACUACGCGAUCAUUGACGCUGAUGCACGAAAGCGUGGGGAGCAAACAGG